CGCUCAUCCAGAGGGGCAGAGGGACACGGCCCGAUGAAGCCCCGGCAACCCUCCAGCCGGUCUCGCCCACCCGUCGUCCGGCCACCACCCGUGGUGGCCCGGCGGGCGGAAGUUCCACAGCGAGGCUCCCGGCGGGGAAGGUGCCAAUUCCGUCUCGUGGCGAGGUUCGCCACGAGGAAGAUGAGGA
rnacentral:ncRNA from 2 species